GUUGGAGGUGCGCACCUGUAAACCCUGCUGGAUGUCUAUAACUGUUUGGGACUGAUUUCACCGUCUUUCCGGGGGGAUUAGGUACCUCAGUUGUUCUCGUUUUCUGACCGACAACAACCCCACUUUCGCCUUGUGUGUGAAAUUUUUAUCUCCUCUCCUGAACACACCCUGGUUUGUUGCGGGAUCAGAAAAACAUUAAGGGAGAUUUUAAUAGAGAAUGAAGCAACAGCCAGAGAUAAAAGACACAGCAAUACUGAAGGGACAACAGCCAGAAAGCAGAAAGAAAUUCAAACAACAAAGCAAAUAGAUUUUCCCAAUUGCCAUUGCUGACAUUCCGUGAGAUUCCCAGGAUUGCUGGCUCCAGUGCCACCUUUAAAAAGCCCUUGUGGACCUGGACAAGCACCA